rnacentral:ncRNA from 1 species
CCGAGAUAGGGGUACAUAUUCUGCCACUGGCGAUUCCCUGGACCUUAGCGAUGAUGGGCAACCUAGCGACGACUCUCGGCGUCCUAAGGGAGAGAAUACCGUUCGCGGCGGAGUCUCCCAGGAC